rnacentral:rRNA from 1 species
UGGGGAAUAUUGGGCAAUGGGCGCAAGCCUGACCCAGCAAUGCCGCGUGAAGGAAGAAGGCCCUCGGGUUGUAAACUUCUUUUAUCAGGGACGAAGGAUGUGACGGUACCUGAUGAAUAAGCUCCGGCUAACUACGUGCCAGCAGCCGCGGUAAUACGUAGGGAGCAAGCGUUAUCCGGAUUUACUGGGUGUAAAGGGCGCGUAGGCGGGAUGGCAAGUCAGAUGUGAAAUCCAAGGGCUCAACCCUUGAACUGCAUUUGAAACUGUCGUUCUUGAGUACUGGAGAGGUUGACGGAAUUCCUAGUGUAGCGGUGAAAUGCGUAGAUAUUAGGAGGAACACCAGUGGCGAAGGCGGUCAACUGGACAGCAACUGACGCUGAGGCGCGAAAGCGUGGGGAGCAAAUAGGAUUAGAUACC